UAAUUUUUAUAUUUUUAGUAGAGACGGGGUUUCACCAUGUUGGCCAGGCUGGUCUCGAACUCCUGACCUCAUGACCUGCCUGCCUCGGCCUCCCAAGGUGCUGGAAAUCAGGACACACACACACGGAGGGAACAUCAUAUGAAGACACAAACCAAGGACAGAGGUCUCGGAAGAAACCAACCCUGCUGACACCUUGAUCUGGGACUUCCAGCCUGCAGAACUGUGAGACAGUACAUUUCUGUUGUUCAACACCCCCAAUCUCUGGUACUUUGGUAUGGCAGCCCAAGCUAAUGCAUAUAAACAACAAGGAGCACAUAGAUGACCUAUGAUAAAGUUGUUUCGGGGAAGGAUGAAGGUGGAAAACCGGAUUGAAGCAUGCUGAAGACUAACUGAAGAUCUACUUCUUGUCUGCAGCUCUGCCUGACCCUGUUCCAAGUGUCUUUUCACUCCUGGACCCAGGCUGAAGGAACAGCCCCUAUCUGCAAUAAACUUCUCUUGUGGCAGACAGUAGAAACCAAACCUAUCAUGAAGUUUCUAGGGGCACAGUGAUCGGAGGUAUUCCCUGUGAGAUGAAGCCAAAUUUGUGAUAUCUUGCACCUUCUACCACCAAGAAAGAGGCACAACAGCUGAUAACAAGCAAUGCUCCAAGGCCCAUGACAUGAACAGUUUCCUGGCAACCUGAAGCUGGUCCCUCUGCUUGGGGUUUUUA